rnacentral:rRNA from 1 species
CCCUUUGGCCUAAGAAACCUGAAGACACCAGAUCUUGUCUGAUUUUGGAAGUUAAGAAGGAUCAGGGCUGGUUAGGACUUGGAUGGAGACUACCAAUGAACACCAGAUGCUAUAGGGA